UUAUGCUCUAAUAAAUGUGUUAGUCUCUAAGGUGCCACAAGUCCUCCUUUUCUUUUUGCGAAUACAGACUAACACGGCUGCUCCUCUGAAACAAGUGCUCCUGUUCUUUUUACUUUAUAGGCAUGGUUUCAUUCAGCUGUGUGAGAGGACCUGAGCCACGCAGGGGGAGCAGCACCUUGCUACAGAAGAGCUGCCACAAGGCAAGCCCAGAGCUGCACGGGCUUCUCAGGAUGAACCAGCUAAUUUGCUGAUCAGGUUGUUUCUGACAGUUCUUUAUCUGGGCUUAAAACAAGCCUGGGCAGAGUCAAAAAGCAGUUCAAAUGAAACUGUGAACCAGGGGUCAGACUGGGGGGAAAGGGGUGGUGGUGGUACUCUUCCAAACGCUUUCCCACAAAAUAAGCUCUGCCCAUGUGAGAUGCUACUCAACAGUCAAUUGUGCAGAUGUUAAGCAUGUAUCAGAGGUUCUCAAACUUCACUGCACCCCGACCCCUUUCUGACAACAGAAAUGACUCCAGGAGGGGGGACGGAAGUCUGAGUCUGCCCGAGCCCCAGCGCCAUAGGCAGGGGGACCAAAGCCCAAACCUGAGCCCUGUCACCCAGGGCUGGAGCCCUUGGGCUUUGGCCCCCGGCAGUGGGAUUCGAGCUUUGGCUUUGUCCCUGGUGGGGCUUGGGCUUCGGUCCUGGGCCCCAGGAAAUCUAAUGCCAGCCCUGGUGACCCCAUUACAAUGGGGUUGUGAUCCACUUUGGGGUCCCAACCCACAAUUUGAGAACUGAUGGCAUAUAUGAUCAUGUGUUUUCUAGGCUUCUUGUACCCUCGGGAUGGGGGGAGGUCUGAAUACACCUGUGAGCUCAACUUAGCUCCUUGGUCUUGGAUUUUCUUGAUUGAGAAAGGGAUAUGGCGUUGCUCUCCCCAACCCAUUCACAUGUUGUGCCAAAAUGAGCUGUUAGGCACCAUAGAUUCUGCAGAUCUUUAUAAUAUGACCCUCCUCCUCCUUUCUUACAUGUUUUGAUGAGUAGAGAAAAUAUAAAUUAUUUAUUCUUUCUCUGCCUCAGUUCCUCAUCUGUGAAAUUGGGAUAAUAGCCAUAAUAACGCAAUAGAAUAUUGUGAGAAAAAACUUAUGAAUGUGUUUGAGGUGCUCAAAUGUUAGUUAUAUUUACUUUUAGAAAAAUAUCAAGGUCCCAGUCCUGAAAUGUGUAAUGCUUAAUUUGUGAGUUCUUCAGUGAUACUACUCACAUGUUUGCAGUUAAGCAAAUGUAAAAAUGUUUUCAAAAUCAGGGCAUAAAUAAAAUAAUAUUUACCACAUUCUUCUGAGAUGGAUAAGUUUAUAACCACUAUUUACAUAUGGUGAAAGGAGGAGGAGGUUAAGUGACUUGCCCACGUCCAGAGAGUGUGUCCAGUUCUUGAGUUGAUAUUAGAACUCAGAAUUACAGUCUUGCCCUCAGAAGUAUUAUAAGGGCCCUACUGUCAAACAAACGUUAACCCUGCCCCUUGGCCCAUUAAGCCCCACCCAUCUGUCACUGGAAGUCCCGCUCCAUUGGGGUAUUACUUCUGGGGUCAAGCCGGACACAUGACUAGAAGCAAGGUGUGUUGUGACCCCUCUAAGAACUCCUCCCACUGCCCUCUACCAAUCGUGAUGGGUUUUGGCCACGGAGGACCGCCCCGAGAGCAGAUUUGACCAAAAUAGGGCAGGUUCUGGGACGGAAUGAACCGCCCAGAAGAAGGUUGUGUGACCCCUCUAAGAACUCCUCCCACUGCCCUCUGCCAAUCAGAGCGCAGCAGCAUCACCACAUAAGUCCCAGCGCCGGGCAGAGGAGGCCAUCUCUUACCAAGAACUUUUGUUUUAGAAACCGUGGAAAGGCUAAUAGGAAACAUGGACUCCUUCACCACCCCCGUGAGAACUUCAGACUUUGUUUUAGCCCUGAGAGCCUUCGACCAUCUGCAGAGACCAUUCUACAUCAGUGACAAUUCUAAGGAGGAGGAGGGAGCGGAUGAGGGGAGCCCUUUGGCCCAGCUGUUGAUGGAUACGCUGGAACCCGAACCUGAAACCCAAUUGCUCUGAGACACCCUGAUGAGCAUGGCGGCCUUUCAUUGUCCACCCCCCUGGAGGAGGAAGGCAAACACAGCUUGGGGGAGUCACCAAUGGACAAGGUGAAUGGAAAAGACGUCACUCAGACAUGGGCAGCUCUCCUGACACUCCUGUAGUCAGAGCUACAGGGACACCUCUGCCAGAACUGCCAAAGAAUCAGAAAUCUUCUCUGAGUCCUUUAAUAACAACGACAGCUGAAGAAGAAAAUUCACCAGCAUUAGUGACUGAUGGAUGGAUGAAGCCCAGCAUGUGCAGCUCUCCUAACAAUGCUGUAGUCGGAGCUAUAGGGACACCUCCACCAGAACCGCUAAAGAACCAGGAAUCUGCUUUGAGACCUUUAACAAUGCUAAUGCAAAACAGCACAAGAGUGCAGAUGAAGCAUCAGAGCUGUCCAAACCUCAUAUAUGUCAAACCCAAGGACAAAACAAAAGACUCUGGUAAAAACCAACC